UACGGGGGGGGCAAGCGUUGUUCGGAAUUACUGGGCGUAAAGGGCGCGUAGGCGGCUUGGUCAGUCCCGUGUGAAAUCCCUCGGCUCAACUGAGGAACUGCACGGGAAACUGCCUGGCUUGAGUUCGGGAGAGGGGAAGCGGAAUUCCGGGUGUAGCGGUGAAAUGCGUAGAUAUCCGGAGGAACACCGGUGGCGAAGGCGGCUUCCUGGGACCGACACUGACGCUGAGGCGCGAAAGCUAGGGGAGCAAACGGGG
rnacentral:rRNA from 1 species